AUGCAGUCGAGCGCGAAUGGAGCAAUCCUAGUAGAGCGGCGCACGGGUGCGUAACACGUGGAUAAUCUGCCUGGGUGUCUGGGAUAACCAGUCGAAAGAUUGGCUAAUACCGGAUAAGCCCCCGGGAGCUUCGGCUCUUGAGGGAAAAGGUGGCCUCUGUAUACAAGCUAUCACAUCCAGAUGAGUCCGCGGCCCAUCAGCUAGUUGGCGGGGUAAUGGCCCACCAAGGCAACGACGGGUAGCUGGUCUGAGAGGACGAUCAGCCACACUGGAACUGAGACACGGUCCAGACUCCUACGGGAGGCAGCAGUGGGGAAUUUUGCGCAAUGGGCGAAAGCCUGACGCAGCAACGCCGCGUGUGUGAUGAAGGUCUUCGGAUUGUAAAGCACUUUCGACCGGGACGAAAACCCGUUGGCUAACAUCCAACGGCUUGACGGUACCGGGAGAAGAAGCACCGGCUAACUCUGUGCCAGCAGCCGCGGUAAUACAGAGGGUGCAAGCGUUGUUCGGAAUUAUUGGGCGUAAAGCGCGUGUAGGCGGCUUUGCAAGUCGGGUGUGAAAGCCCUCAGCUCAACUGAGGAAGUGCGCCCGAAACUGCAGAGCUUGAGUGCCGGAGAGGGUG
rnacentral:rRNA from 1 species